GCCUCCUUAGCUCAGUUGGUAGAGCGACACACUUGUAAUGUGUAGGCCGUCGGUUCGAUUCCGACAGGAGGCUCCA
rnacentral:tRNA from 1 species